rnacentral:piRNA from 1 species
UGUUUGUGGGAAUCCUUGGAGGCCAGAGGGU